UGUAUUUGCUGGCUUUUGUGUAUGGGGCACGUUGACUAUCAAUUAAAGUCAAAAAAAGGAAUAAUAUGACAGUACUGAAGGUGUGAAGAGCGUCAAAGAAGAAAGUUUUGAGCUAUCAGGCUGCGCCACAGGCUUUUACUCUGAAGACACAUUUUUUGGGCAACAAACAACAGGAGCUUCUGCACACUUGGAGUUUCAGACAACCAGGAACAUGUUGAACCACCUCUGCAUACGCUGUCUCUACUAAGAGUUCAACAAGCACCGUGAGUCUGCCAACAAAGGUGAGAUGGAGAAGCUGUACAGACAAAUCACUGAAACCCAAAGAAUUAAUCAAAAGGUGAAGUUACACGGUACUGUCACUGCCGAUCUAAGAAUCAACACUUUUAAAACACAUGAACACCCUGCAGCCUCCAUCUCCUGUUUUGUUUAUGUAUUUACCGUCAGGUUAGCGAGCAAAACUGGCUCAGCACAGGGUCUGAUGCGUGGCAGGGCUGGGAGCAAAGCAGCACUUCCCCUUCUGGCACCAGCGAAGUUCAAUCGGCUCAGCUGGGGUAGUUGCACCAUCAAAACAGCUUGCUACAUGUUUUGACGUGUACAUUAACUGAUAACCUGACAAAUGGAGGAGAAUGCACAGCUCUUGGAUUUAGUCACCAUUUCUACACAGCUUUCCAGAGCGAUGGAAGACCUGACAGCUGGGCGUCCUGAGCAAGGUAAAGUGCAGCAUUAAAGGCAGCUUGCUCCCCUCGCCUGAGCCACCGGUGGUGCACCGGGGACGUAGACAAAUGCAGAGGAGAGCUAUCUAUGUCUUUAUGGCACUAGCAAAUCUGCUCGAGACAGGACAAACACUCUGUUAAACUGAAGAAAGCAAGUAACAAGCACUCAAGCCUUGAUUACAGGCUAUCAUCAAGAGAACCACAGAAUUUGGAAAAAAAAAAUUACAAGAGGCUUAGCAUUUAAUGCUUUAAAGUAAUAAAUCCAUGCCUAAGACAUAUUUUAACUUAUUUUUUAAAGUUUUCUCAAACGCCAUCUUAUGCUCCCAAACUACUAAGCUCCACCGUUACAUUUGCUUUCUCGGUAUUCUGCAAAUCAGGUUACAUCCAGUGCCUCGAGUGCCCUUUUGGCAUCCCAAAAGCUCUUUCCAAUAAACAGUAAGCAAGCCAUUUAUUUGUGUUUAUCUCCCCUUUUAAACUCAAGUAACCCAAAAGUGUCCAAUAGAUUAAAGCUGAUGUAAGCAGUAUUUUUUUUUUGGCGGUUAAAGAAAGUUUGCUCUAAAAUUAUGUGCAUUACCGACACAUGAUUUUACCACUUAAAAACAGAAUACCCUCAGAAAGGUUUUAAUAAGAAAAAAGAAAUACACCUCCCCAUUUGUGCACAUUGACUCUGAACAAAAAAGACAGCAGCUGCUGCGACCUACCUAAAUGUAAGUUUUUCUUCUCAGUGUUUUAGUUUUCAAUUAAGUAAAGACUUAGC